UGAGGUACUGAACACAUCUCCUAUCUAUAACUGGUCCAUGUAACCUACAUAUUGCUAAUUUGUUCCUAAACGUUGCUUAUAGGACAAAUCAGAGUAUAUACGUAAGGCCUAGCAUUCUGUCCUGGGGAGGAAAGUCGACCUACUUGCCAGCUCAGAUUGACUCCACCAGAACAUCCCACAUGACGUCGAACGAAUGUUUAAGCCAGCUUUGUCCACUAUCAUAUCUGAGAAUUCAAAGAGCAGGGCAUGGUGGGUUCGACAAGAUCGGUGGCUCUCCUGCUGAUGAUUAUGCACCUCAAUAUUUUUGGUGAACUGAGUUCUUUUCAUGGUCUUCGUUGUUUAUCUGAUUUCUGUGCAUUAAUUGUUCUUAUUUUCGUGGCCUCCUAAUUUGUUUAUGACUUCAUUCAUUUUUUAUACUUUUUUUCAUACUUGCA